AUUGAACGCUGGCGGCAGGCUUAACACAUGCAAGUCGAGCGAGCGGCGGACGGGUGAGUAAUGUGUGGGAAACUGCCUGAUGGAGGGGGCUAACUACUGGAAACGGUAGCUAAUACCGCAUACCAGGAGAUGGGCCCAGAUGGGAUGAGCUAGUAGGUGGGGUAAUGGCUCACCUAGGCGACGAUCCCGAGCUGGUCUGAGAGGAUGACCAGCCACGCUGGAACGGAGACACGGUCCAGAAUCCUCCGGGCGGGAGCAGUGGGGAAUAUUGGACAACGGGCGCAUGUCUGAUGCAGCCAAUCCGCGUGUGGGAGGUAGGCCUUCGGGUUGUAAAGCACUUGCAGCGAGGAGGCGUUCCUCGCCGCCGAAGCCCCGGCUAACUCCGUGCCCGCAGCCGCGGUAAUAC
rnacentral:rRNA from 1 species